GACGAACGCUGGCGGCGUGCCUAACACAUGCAAGUCGAGCGGUAAGGCCCUUUCGGGGGUACACGAGCGGCGAACGGGUGAGUAACACGUGGGUGACCUGCCCUCAGCUCUGGGAUAAGCCCGGGAAACUGGGUCUAAUACCGGAUAUGACUUCAUGACGCAUGUUGUGGAGUGGAAAGCCUUGUGCGGCUGAGGAUGGGGCCCGCGGCCUAUCAGCUUGUUGGUGGGGUGANGGCCUACCAAGGCGACGACGGUAGCCGGCCUGAGAGGCGACCGGCCACACUGGGACUGAGAUACGGCCCAGACUCC
rnacentral:rRNA from 1 species